GAUGAACGCUAGCGGGAGGCCUAACACAUGCAAGUCGAACGGGAUCCCCUUCGGGGGUGAGAGUGGCGCACGGGUGAGUAACGCGUAUGCAACCUGCCUGUAACAGAGGGAUAGCCCAUAGAAAUGUGGAUUAAUACCUCAUAGUCCUGGAGAGCCGCAUGGUUUUUCAGGUAAAACUCCGGUGGUUACAGAUGGGCAUGCGUGACAUUAGCUAGUUGGUAAGGUAACGGCUUACCAAGGCAACGAUGUCUAGGGGUUCUGAGAGGAUGAUCCCCCACACUGGUACUGAGACACGGACCAGACUCCUACGGGAGGCAGCAGUGAGGAAUAUUGGUCAAUGGGCGCAAGCCUGAACCAGCCAUCCCGCGUGCAGGAUGACGGCCCUAUGGGUUGUAAACUGCUUUUAUACAGGAAGAAAAAUCUCCACGUGUGGGGACUUGCCGGUACUGUAUGAAUAAGCAUCGGCUAACUCCGUGCCAGCAGCCGCGGU
rnacentral:rRNA from 1 species